rnacentral:rRNA from 1 species
GAUGAACGCUGGCGGCGUGCCUAAUACAUGCAAGUCGAGCGAACGGACGAGAAGCUUGCUUUUCUGAUGUUAGCGGCGGACGGGUGAGUAACACGUGGAUAACCUACCUAUAAGACUGGGAUAACUUCGGGAAACCGGAGCUAAUACCGGAUAAUAUUUUGAACCGCAUGGUUCAAAAGUGAAAGACGGUCUUGCUGUCACUUAUAGAUGGAUCCGCGCUGCAUUAGCUAGUUAGUAAGGUAACGGCUUACCAAGGCAACGAUGCAUAGCCGACCUGAGAGGGUGAUCGGCCACACUGGAACUGAGACACGGUCCAGACUCCUACGGGAGGCAGCAGUAGGGAAUCUUCCGCAAUGGGCGAAAGCCUGACGGAGCAACGCCGCGUGAGUGAUGAAGGUCUUCGGAUCGUAAAACUCUGUUAUUAGGGAAGAACAUAUGUGUAAGUAACUGUGCACAUCUUGACGGUACCUAAUCAGAAAGCCACGGCUAACUACGUG